rnacentral:misc_RNA from 1 species
GAUGAAGAACGCAGCGAAAUGCGAUACGUAAUGUGAAUUGCAAAUUCAGUGAAUCAUCGAGUCUUUGAACGCACAUUGCGCCCCCUGUAUUCCGGGGGGCAUGCCUGUCCGAGCGUCAUUGCUGCCCUCAAGCACGGCUUGUGUGUUGGGCCCCGUCCUCCGAUCCCGGGGGACGGGCCCGAAAGGCAGCGGCGGCACCGCGUCCGGUCCUCGAGCGUAUGGGGCUUUGUCACCCGCUCUGUAGGCCCGGCCGGCGCUUGCCGAUCAACCCAAAUUUUUAUCCAGGUUGACCUCGGAUCAGGUAGGGAUACCCGCUGAACUUAAGCAUAUCAAUAAGCGGAGGA